UAACAAUAUAGGACUAGUUAUCUAUGUUCUGUAAUUGGAAUGAAUCGAGUUUAAAUCCUUCUAUUAGGAUCAAGUGGAGGGCAAGUUCGGUGCCAGCAGCCGCGGUAAUUCCGACUCCACUAGCGUAUGUUAAAAUUGUUGCGGUUAAAACGUUCGAAGUUGAUUUUUGUUGAGGACCCUCCCAGGGGUUCCCAAGUGGCGCCACCUGGYGGCGGGUUACUCAACUAUUCGACCGUACACUUAAUGAACGUCACUGAUGCCUUUCACUAGGAUAGGUGCACGUUUAGUACGGCUUACUUUUACCUUGAACAAAUUAAGGUGCUCAAAGCAGGCUCUCGAUGCCUUGAAUAUUUUUGCAUGGAAUAAUGGAAAAAGACCUCGGUCUUAUGUGAUGCUCUUCACCGGGCAUUCGCUUUCUAUUGGUUUGAUACAGAUCAAGAGGUAAUGAUUAAUAGAAGCAGUCGGGGACAUUAGUAUUGCGGCGCGAGAGGUGAAAUUCUUAGACCGUCGCACGACUAACUAAAGCGAAGGCAUUUGUCAAGGAUGUUUUCAUUAAUCAAGAACGAAAGUUUAAGGAUCGAAGACGAUUAGAUACCGUCCUAGUUUAAACAGUAAACGAUGACAACUAGCAAUUGGAUGUCACUACUAUUCAUGGUGCAUUCAGUAGCUUCCGGGAAACCAAAGUUAGUUUCCGGGGGAAGUAUGGUUGCAAAGUUGAAACUUAAAGGAAUUGACGGAAGACUAUCACCGGCGAUGGAGCUUGCGGCUUAAUUUGACUCAACACGGGACAACUUACCAGGUCAGAACUUUAUAGGGUUAGCCAGCUUGAUAGCGCUUGCUUGAAAUAAAGGGUAG
rnacentral:rRNA from 1 species